CUAGUUGGUAAGGUAAUGGCUUACCAAGGCUAUGACGCUUAACUGGUCUGAGAGGAUGAUCAGUCACACUGGAACUGAGACACGGUCCAGACUCCUACGGGAGGCAGCAGUAGGGAAUAUUGCGCAAUGGGGGAAACCCUGACGCAGCAACGCCGCGUGGAGGAUGACACUUUUCGGAGCGUAAACUCCUUUUCUUAGGGAAGAAUUCUGACGGUACCUAAGGAAUAAGCACCGGCUAACUCCGUGCCAGCAGCCGCGGUAAUACGGAGGGUGCAAGCGUUACUCGGAAUCACUGGGCGUAAAGGGCGCGUAGGCGGAUUAUCAAGUCUCUUGUGAAAUCUAAUGGCUUAACCAUUAAACUGCUUGGGAAACUGAUAGUCUAGAGUGAGGGAGAGGCAGAUGGAAUUGGUGGUGUAGGGGUAAAAUCCGUAGAUAUCACCAAGAAUACCCAUUGCGAAGGCGAUCUGCUGGAACUCAACUGACGCUAAGGCGCGAAAGCGUGGGGAGCAAACAGGAUUAGAUACCCUGGUAGUCCACGCCCUAAACGAUGUACACUAGUUGUUGGGGUGCUAGUCAUCUCAGUAAUGCAGCUAACGCAUUAAGUGUACCGCCUGGGGAGUACGGUCGCAAGAUUAAAACUCAAAGGAAUAGACGGGGACCCGCACAAGCGGUGGAGCAUGUGGUUUAAUUCGAAGAUACGCGAAGAACCUUACCUGGGCUUGAUAUCCUAAGAACCUUUUAGAGAUAAGAGGGUGCUAGCUUGCUAGAACUUAGAGACAGGUGCUGCACGGCUGUCGUCAGCUCGUGUCGUGAGAUGUUGGGUUAAGUCCCGCAACGAGCGCAACCCACGUAUUUAGUUGCUAACGGUUCGGCCGAGCACUCUAAAUAGACUGCCUUCGUAAGGAGGAGGAAGGUGUGGACGACGUCAAGUCAUCAUGGCCCUUAUGCCCAGGGCGACACACGUGCUACAAUGGCAUAUACAAUGAGACGCAAUACCGCGAGGUGGAGCAAAUCUAUAAAAUAUGUCCCAGUUCGGAUUGUUCUCUGCAACUCGAGAGCAUGAAGCCGGAAUCGCUAGUAAUCGUAGAUCAGCCAUGCUACGGUGAAUACGUUCCCGGGUCUUGUACUCACCGCCCGUCACACCAUGGGAGUUGAUUUCACUCGAAGCCGGAAUACUAAACUAGUUACCGUCCACAGUGGAAUCAGCGACUGGGGUGAAGUCGUAACAAGGUAACCGUAGGAGAACCUGCGGUUGGAUCACCUCCUUUCUA
rnacentral:rRNA from 1 species